rnacentral:lncRNA from 1 species
CCCUAAACCCUAAACCCUAAACCCUAAACCCUAUAAACCCAAAACCCUAUAAACCCUAAACCCUAUAAACCCUAAACCCAAAACCCUAAACCCUAAACCCUAAACCCUAAAAACCCUAAACCCUAAAACCCUAACCCCUAAACCCUAAACCCUAAACCCUAAACCAACCCAUUAUUCCCGGAUCUGCUACAGUAGCGUUUUGCUACAGUGACAGUUUUCUCUCAACCGCUACAGUGAUGCCGAACCUUUAAUUCCACUUUCCGGCCAAUUUUCCGGCGAGUGAGUCUACACCUCCACUUGGAGCACGUCGGCCUUUGAAUUCCCUUCGAUUUGAUAUGUUGCUUGAAAAUUUUGGAGCACGUUUGGAGCUUGAAAGAUUGAAGUGAAGUCGGAAUACUAUGCGUGCUACAGUGCCCGAAUGCUAGUUUCGGUUUCCCGACCACAUUUUCCGGCAAGUAAGCUUACACCUCCCUCUUAAACAUAUUCACCUUUCAUUGAUCUACAUUUCCGUGCCUUUAUUGGGGAUUUUGGAGUUGAUUUGCAUACCCGAUCAAGUUUUGAAGUUUCGGUUUACUAUUCACUGAAUAGUGCCGAUAUCUAAAACCUAGAUCCGGCGAUAUUUCCGGCGAGUGCACUCUCACCACCCUCUCAAAAUUGUUCCCCUCUCACCGAUCUACGUUUCCAUACCUUAUAUGCGAAUUUUGGAGGUGAUUUGAAGCCUACACAACGGUUGGAAGUUUCGGUUUUACUAUUCCUGCUACAGUACUGUUCUUCGUGCUACAGUGCCUGUUCUUCAUUGCUACAGUACCCAUAAUCGCUACAGUACCUGUUUGCUACAGUGAUUUCGGGGUACUAUUCAUAGAACUUGGGAUUUUGGACAUUUUUCUUCCGGGCCUCCCGUCGCGCAACUCGGCCUGAAUGGCUUCUCCGGCCAUGGCCGGUGGCUAUCCGACUACUUCAUUUGAGUUUCCGCUGCUUCCAUCGUUUGCACAAAUGGCGGCAAAAUCACCCACUGCUCAACCCUGCAAAUCGUUUGUGGAUGCCGCUGUUGGGUCUCAAAGAGCUGCUCCGGCCAUUUCGUUCAGGCAAUCCUCGACCCAUAGAGGCGAGCCGGCCAUUUUUUUCACCGAGGAAGAAAUUAACAUCAUGGCCGCACCAUUCAAGCUCGCUCUAGUUGGUAAGUUUUCCUUCGGCCGCCCUCCUAUUGAUGUUAUCCGUAAAUUUUUUGUGGCUCUUGGCUUGAAGGGAAAUUGUGAAAUCUCAUUAUUGGAUCCUCGNNNNN